rnacentral:rRNA from 1 species
CAUGAUGUUCUUGGGGUUCCAGACGAUCUUGUAGGUGUGGAAGUCGGCGGUGGGGUCGAACCAGAGGUAGAACUGGUGCUCCUUCUUCCCGUCGCCGCUGGCCCACACGUUGGUGUUCAUCACGUAGGGGUCGCCGCUGAGGUUGCCCAUGAACUCGAUGUCGAUCUCGUCAUGGCCGUCGCCCUCCCCAGACCUUACGUAGAAGGAGGUGACGGUGCCGGCGGAGUUGCCGCCGAUGAGCUUCAUCUGGACGCUGAACUCGCCGUAGAGGUACUUGUCCUUGGAGCUGAAGCCGGAGCCGCCGUUGCCCUGGUCGAGCGUGAGCGCCACCUGCUGGGCCAGGCCAUCGUCGUUCACGCGCACGUUGUUGCCGGAGCCGACCACGUCGAACUGGUCGUAGAACCCGGCCUCGGACGCGGCGGCGGCCAUGGCCAGGACGGCCAGGCAGAGGUGGAGGGAGAUGGACGGCCUCGCCAUGCCGGCAGCUCGUUCGUGCGUUGCUCCUCUGCUGCUUCCUCUGUACCGCAC